UACAGAGACCUCGAGCGUUAUCCGGAAUCAUUGGGCGUAAAGCGUACCGAUCGGUGGUCAUGAAAGUCAGAAGUGAAAUUACGAAGCUCAACUUCGUAACUGUCUUUUGAAACUUCAUGACUAGAGGGACAAAGAGGAAGCUGGAACAAACGGUGUAGUAGUGAAAUGCGUUGAUAUCGUUUGGAACACCAAUAGCGAAGGCAGGCUUCUGGGUGUCACCUGACACUGCUAGGACGAAAGCGUGGGGAGCGAAUGGG
rnacentral:rRNA from 1 species